rnacentral:lncRNA from 1 species
UUUUAUUGUGAGAAUGUGCAGUUGAAAAUAAAUACAUGAUUUUAUUAUUAUUAUAAUUAAUUUUUUUUUUUUUUAAAUGGUUGUUAAACAUGGGCUAAUUGAGAUUUUUUCUGAAAGUUGAAUGACCACGGAUGAAAUUUAUCUCCGAAUAAUAAAUACUUAACACUUGUCGCUCAACCUCCGCGGCAGGGAGAGAAAGAUAGAGAUAGAUAGAGAGACCACUCCAAUGGCGUCUCUCUUGAAAUGCUACAAUCCCUUGAUUCCACGCAUUUACCGCCAAACUUCCAAAGCAAAAUCGCUUUCCACCGGAACCAGUUUUCGACUCCACACUUUCUCUUCAAUUUACUGCAGUAAUAACUCUCUUCCUCUGACCAGUAAUCGGGCGAGAAGUGACACAAUUAAUGAUGAUAAUAAUAAUCACAUACCGAUGAAGAAAAAGGAGUCGUGGUUGUACAAUACUAUGAGCAGGCAAAAGGAACUGUUUAAGCCAAAUGUUGAAGCCAAAGUGGGCAUGCGUUUACGUCUUUUUCGAUGUCUUGUACAGGUGUGCAUUCUUCCUCUUUCUACGUGUUUGUUUAUAGUUGUUAAUUUAUAUACCUGUAGAUGUAUUUGGUGCAUUUUAGUUGUGGUUAAGAAAAAUAAUUGGGUGAAAUGAAAUAAUGGAUGGAAAAAGAUAUUCAGAAUCUUAUGAACUUCUGAAACGAAAUAUUUGAAAGUUCUAAUCUUUAUGAGAAUAUUAGGAAACUUUGUCUAUGUUCGAUGAAGUUGUAGAAAUUUAACAGUGAAUCUUGAUAAGCAAUUCACUGGUCUGAGCUAUAACUUCAAGGAUGCGGAGUUUUGCUUCCCUGAUCCAUGUGAACUAAUGCGUGUUAAUCAUUUUUUGAUCUGGAGCAAUAAUUCGUACUUCCUUUCUUUGAAUGCAUUUGUUUUCCUUGACAUUGUAGCUUUACUAAAAGAGGUGGGGCAUGGUUCGCUUUGCUUUGUUCCUAGAAAAGGGAAUAACCUAGCCAAUCAAUCUUGCUUCUUUCGCUAAUUUCUACUAAUUUCACAGUUACUCUUCUUUUGCUAAUUGCUACUAAUUCCCUGGUUGAUUUUACCCCUUCUAUUAUUAUGCUCUUUGUUCAUAAUGAUAAUAAUAUGAGUGUCUUUUGAUUUUCAAAAAAUGAAAAAAAAAUAAACAAUAAAAAAAAUUAAUUUAAUUCAAGAUAGACAUAUUAUACACUUAUGUUGGAGAGUCAUGUUCUAUGUGCUUAGUAAAAUUUCAAAGUGCUUUUGGAUUUCUACUUCGGAUAAGUUUUUCCUGCUUGUUUUUAGUAGUAAAACAUUGUGUGUUACAAUUAAUUGCACUUUUUUCCCUUCCAUUCUUUGAAAUUUAGGCAGAUACCUCAAGUAUUUGGGAUAUGACGUCAACUACGUUCGGAAUUUCACUGCUGUUGAUGAUAAGGUGUGUUGUUUCAAAGAGCCAAAAGAUGUAUUUGUGCUUAUCUGCAUAUGUCUACUUAUAAUAUAACACUUUUGAGAAAGCUAUUGAAUUUCCAGACGUUGAUACUGUAGCUUUCUUACAAGUACCUACAAUUUCCACAUAUGUAUGACAGGAUGGCUGAGUCUGCAAUUUUCAAAUUCUGUAGAUUAUUGCAAGAGCAAAUGAGUUGGGGAAGAAUCCAAUAAAUUUAAGCAGACGAUAUUGCGAAGAGUUUCAUUGUGAUAUGUCAAAUCUACAUUGUCUUCCUCCUUCAGUGGAACCUCGAGUGUCUGAUCACAUUCCAGAAAUCAUUGAGAUGAUUAAGCAGGUACCUCUUUCUUCUUCUUUCUUUGGUGCCUUGGGAUAAAGAAAUUUCUCUUGCAGUUUGUCCACCUCUAUUGAAAGUGUUUACCAUUUAUUUUAUUUUAUUCUUUUAUUUUGGCAAAAAAUUUGUAUAUUUAUGGAGGAAACUCUAAAUAUACGCCCUCAGUUGCAUUGAAAACUUUAAUUUGAGUAAUCCAAGAUCAAAUCCCUUUUGUCCUUGUAGCUCUGGAAAGGAAAUUGUUCCUGGAUAUUUUGUAGACAUUGUAAACUAGUGAAAAUUCAUUUUUCUUUUAAUUUGAACUCUCAAGUUCAUGAUUUUGCUUUGAUCUAUCUCUUUAUCCUUAGAUUUUGACAUUACAAAGAAACUUAGCAUGUUAGCAUUAAGUGGAGACUUUAUGCUUUUGUGACAGAUACUUGAUAAUGGGUGGGCGUACACUCUCCAAGGUGAUGUGUACUUCUCUGUAGACAACUUCCCCUACUAUGGACGAUUAUCUGGCCGUAAGUUAGAAGAUAAUAGAGCGGGUGAACGGGUGGCAGUGGACUCAAGGAAGAAAAACCCAGCUGACUUUGCAUUAUGGAAAGUAAUUGCUUGUAACUUCGGCUGUGUUCAUAUGUAUUUAGAAAAAAAUGUAUUUAUACAUCUAUAGAUGGUUGCAAAGCAUAUAUGUAUACCUGCCUUAAUAUUUAGGUAAAUGAUAGUUGCAUCCUUUAUUGAUUGUCAUAAUUCAGGAUACCUUUCCUCAUGAUUCUUGAAUUUACUUUUACCCUCAAUAUUUUCAUUCAAUGUUAUUGAUGGUAGGUUCGAUUUUAUGAGUUUCAUUUAUAUUUUUAUACCAGAAGGGAGGUUGGUUUAAUCAAUCUAACUAGAGCAUAAGAUAGUUUACAAUUCUUUUUUACUGACCACAUUCACUUCCUUAAUAAUAGUGGGGCAAGAAGGACAUUCAGUAUUCACUUUUCAGUUAACUAGAGAGAAGUUUGCAUCAGCAUGGUUGUUGAAUUUCAUCCUUGUUCAUUGUGAAGGUCUACCAUUUUUUUCCAAUCAUUCUAGUGCUUGUCUUCUGUUUACAGUCUGCAAAGGAGGGAGAACCUUUUUGGGAGAGUCCGUGGGGUCCUGGUAGACCCGGAUGGCAUAUCGAGUGCAGUGCCAUGAGCGCUACUUAUCUAGGUUAUUCUUUUGACAUUCAUCGUGGGGGAAUGGAUCUUAUUUUUCCCCAUCAUGAAAAUGAGAUAGCGCAAAGCUGUGCUGCGUGCCAUAAGAGCAAUGUAAGAUAUUGGAUACAUAAUGGAUUUGUGACUAUUGACUCGGAGAAGAUGUCAAAGUCUCUUGGAAACUUUUUCACAAUUCGGCAGGUACAGGGAAAUAAAUUGUCCUCUCAAUCUCUCGCACACACAUACAUGUAGAAACAAAUAAAUUCCACUUGUUUGCAAUCUGACAACUCAAUAAUCUGAUAUUGUUCAAUGCUUCCAAUUUUAGUAGUUUUUCUCUAUUCUAUUUUCUUGACCGGUAUUAUUAUUAUUUUUUUUUUUUUUUAUUAUUAUUUUUUUUUCUAGGUCUUAGAACAUUAUCAUCCACUGGCUUUGAGACUUUUCCUAAUGGGGACUCAUUAUCGUUCGCCAAUCAAUUACUCAGAGAUACAGCUUGAAAGUGCAUCAGAGCGUGUUUUUUACAUCUAUCAGGUACAAUCCCCUCAAUCCUUGGGCUGGCACAAUGAAGGCUCGACUCUGUUUCAUUUUGUACUUAUUAAUUCCUUUUCUCCUGUAUCAAGCGUUUUCAUAGUUUGAAAUUUGAAUAAUUCAAAAGUAACUGCUUUUGCAAGGUCUCGUACCAUCAGAGUUCUGCAUGCAUUAUGCCCUAGUUACCGUGUGAUAUUGUGUUGACGCACUGCUUUACCACGCUUCCAAGCCUGUCCCUGUAUUCUAUAUUUUUUUAUCUCUUAACCAGGGGGCCAGGAGUUUCUCCUUCCUUCUUUUUUUUUUUUUUUUUUUUUUUUUCAAAUAAUAGAAAAAGAUUAUCUAAACAUAAUCAAUGCGACGGAAUAAUGGAAAAGAAAAGGCAAAGGAUGGAUUCAACUUUCGAUAUACAGAGGCUCUUAAUUUUUCAAGAUAAAAAUUUGAAAUGAAAUUGCAAGCUUCGAAUUAACUUCAAACCAAAAUUAACGUUUGUGAUGUAGUUGUGAGGAUAUGAUCACAUUGAAUCUUCGUAGCUAUGGAUGAAAUGAAGUGGUGAAAUAGAAUUUUAUGUAGUUGACCCCCAAUUUAUGUGGGAUAAGUCUUUUUUUGAAGUCUCUUUAAGCACAACGAAGAAUAAUCUUUCUAAAAUACUCUUUGUUGAUGCUCUUAUAUUUACACAACUAGAAUAUUGGGUAUUAGUUCGCUGCAAAACUUGUAUGUCUUCAUAUUUUAACUGUAAGGUCAGUGUAACAAAUAUGGUCAUGCUCUGGUUGCAGACAUUACAUGAUUGUGAGAAUAUCCUGUCCCAGCAUGAUGAGGCAAGCCGGAAACAUUCUAUUCCAUCAGGAACUACACUUUGUAUUGAUAAAUUUAAUGAUGAGUUUUUUUAUUUCAAUGUCUGAUGAUAUCCGUACUCCCGUAACUUUGGCUGCAAUGUCAGAGCCAUUGAAGACCAUCAAUGACCUUCUACAUACUCGUAAGGUAUUUUGGUUUUAGUCGCAUGAUUAAGCAAUUUUAUUUGUCGGUUCAAUUUUCCUAUAGUGGUAUAUAUCUAAAUGCUUGUUUUCUUCUUCAGUUCCAAUCAGAUAAGUAUUUUUUGUAGAUAAUCUAAAGCAUGGAUGAGAUAGUAGACAUAGUUUCCAGAAACAAUAAAUCUGUAUACUAAUUUACACUGUCUUUUUCGGCAGUGUAGUUGUUUCUUGGAUUUUAACAUAACUAUUGAUGUCUUUUUCAAUUAUGUGUUAUAAUCUUAUUCUCUCAUUGAAAGUUGAAUUAGGCUUAUUUGUGUCCUUUUAUGACCUCUGUUAUUCUCAGGGCAAGAAGCAAGAAUUACGAAUAGAAUCACUUGCAGCUUUAGAAAAUACCAUGAGAAAUGUUCGGACUGUUUUGGGACUCUUGCCAAGUAGUUACUCUGAGGUAAUAAGUCUCUGUCUCUGUCUCUCUGACGAACCUCCACACCCCACAAAAAAAAAAAAUGAAAAAUUUAAAAACAAACACCCUCCACAACCCACAAAAAAAAAAAAAGAAAGAAAAAUAUAAGAACGAAGAUUUGUUUAAUGUGCACGCAUUUAUGUGGGCCUUUGUGAUGUUCUCUAGAAUUUGAUGCUGUAUUUAAGUUGGCCUUGCAUUUUAGUUUUCAUGUUGCACUAGACGUGUUUUGUUUCUGAUAUCUAGCAAUCGAAUUGCAAGUCUGUUGCAAAAGGCAUAAAUUACUUACUUUCAUGUGAUUUUAAAAUCCUUCGAAAUUUUUAGUCACUCUCUUUUUAUUGCAUCUGCUUCUACCAAGUAAAACCAUCCUGCAUUGCUCAUCACCGAUGAUGUCAAUUUUUUGUGGCGUCAAUUUUUUUUAACGCUAUCUGCGGGUUUUAUUUCAAAAUUAGGCCUUUGUCAGGCAUUAUAAUCCUUAAUUAAUGAAUAAAAUUGAUUUUGAGCUUAUGGUUAUACAUGUUCCAGGCUUUGCAGCAGCUACGAGAUUAUGCACUGAAGCGCGUAAAGUUGACAGAAGAUCAAGUGCUACAGAAGAUUGAAGAAAGGAAUAGUGCAAGAAAAAAUAAGCAAUAUGAAGAAUCCGAUGCAAUUCGAAAAUAUUUGUCGGGUUUAGGCAUUGCACUCAUGGACAGCCCAGAGUGCACAACUUGGAGACCAGCUAUUCCUUUGGUUUUGAAAGAACAGCAGGUCGCAGGAAGCUGAAUCUGAUUGGAACAUACCGUUUCAUAAGUUUGCAAUGAAAGAUAUAAUGAAUCCACGGUUAACUCUUUAAAUUUGGAGAAUAGCAUAUGGGAUUUCACCAUGCAGUUUAUUUUGUCGGUGUAUUUUAGUUGAUAAAACAAUCAUGCCUGAUGAAAAUGCUUUCACUUAUUCUCAAGCCGUUUAACUUUCUUUGUUGUAAGCAUGAUGAAUUUUUGUUCUGUUCUUAAGGGGACAAAAAAGGGGGGGAGAGGCUAUUUUCACCAGUGCAUUCUAUUGCUUGUAGUUAAUGAAGGUAGUCAUCUUGUGGACUCGAAUUUGAACCCAGUUUCUUGGUGGAAGAAGAAUUUUAUUCCAGAGGCUCAGAUUUACAAGGUUAUCAAUGUACAGAAAAAUCAAUUAGAGCUUCUCAAAUUCGAAGUUCAGUUUAACUCAGUUUUAAAAUUAGCCAAUGCUUUACAAGUUGUGCCAAAUAUUGACACAAUGACAAUAAAAUUUAUGAACUGUACUCUUGUCGAUAGUUUACUUACCCCAGCCUUAAAUCUUC